rnacentral:rRNA from 1 species
AGAGUUUGAUCCUGGCUCAGAACGAACGCUGGCGGCGUGGCUAAGACAUGCAAGUCGAACGGUCCGGUAUUUAUUUGUUUACAAAUUAUGCCGGAUAGUGGCGAAAGGGUGAGUAAUGGGUAGGUAACGUACCUCGUGCUUCGGGAUAGUGUCUGUUUACCUUCGGGUAAACUUCCGAAAGGGGCAGUAAUACCGAAUAAUAUCAGGUCUCCUAAGGUAUCUGAUCAAAGAUUUAUCGGCAUAAGAGCGGCCUACCUCCUAUCAGCUUGUUGGUGAGGUAAUGGCUCACCAAGGCGAUGACGGGUAGCGGGACUGAGAGGUUGGCCCGCCACAUCGGGACUGAGACACUGCCCGGACCUCCACGGAGGGCUGCAGUAACGAAUCUUGCGCAAUGGGCGAAAGCCUGACGCAGCGACGCCGCGUGCGGGAAGAAGUCUUUCGGGAUGUAAACCGCUGUCAGGGGGAAGAAAGUGCGCUCCGGCGUAUUGAUCUAACCCAAAGGAAGUCACGGCUAACUUCGUGCCAGCAGCCGCGGUAAGACGAAGGUGGCGAGCGUUGUUCGGUAUUACUGGGCUUAAAGCGUGUGUAGGCGGAAGAGUAAGCGCCUUGUGAAAUCCCUCGGCUUAACCGAGGAAUUGCUUGGCGAACUGCUUUUCUUGAGGCAAGUAGGGGUGCAUGGAACUCUUGGUGGAGCGGUGGAAUGCGUAGAUAUCAAGAGGAACGCCGGUAGUGAAAACGGUGCACUGGGCUUGUCCUGACGCUGAGACACGAAAGCGUGGGUAGCGAACGGGAUUAGAUACCCCGGUAGUCCACGCCGUAAACGAUGC